UACGAAGGGGGCUAGCGUUGCUCGGAAUUACUGGGCGUAAAGGGCGCGUAGGCGGGUCGUUUAGUUAGAGGUGAAAGCCCAGGGCUCAACCCUGGAAUUGCCUUUAAUACUGGCGGCCUUGAGUAUGGCAGAGGUGUGUGGAACUCCGAGUGUAGAGGUGAAAUUCGUAGAUAUUCGGAAGAACACCAGUGGCGAAGGCGACACACUGGGCCAUUACUGACGCUGAGGCGCGAAAGCAUGGGGAGCAAACAGG
rnacentral:rRNA from 1 species